UCUUUCUUCCUCCCAGGCUAUUUUAUACUAUCCAGUAAUAUGAAGCUACAGAAAAUUUUUUACCCUUUAAUUCCCCGAAGCUGAAGGAUUUGCUCUAAACAUGGAAAAGAUGUGGGCUCCCAGGCCAGCACAGCCUGGGGAGAACUCAAGGAGGGGCUGAGAUCACAAAUCAAUCUCUCUGGCAACACGGCAGGGAGGGAGAGGAUUCGGUGGGAAGAGAUGCUGUGCCUGCUGCCAGCUGCAUGACCUUCAGCAGCUGAAGGAGCGUGAUGUGAUGCUUUGUUCUCAGGAAGAUCCUUGGGAAGAGGGGCUUAACCACAGAGUUGUCCUGACACACAUAGGCUGCAAACAAUUUGGGACCCAAAGCCCCGAGAGUCUCUGUAAGAAAGGUGUGCAUUUGUUUCAAGAGUCAGCAUUUCAAGAAAAUCAGACAGACUGUGCUAAGUGGAGAUUUAUAAAUAAACUGCUUUAUUUAUGCAUGCCUGGAUGACAGCUAAAGGCCUUGCUGUGGAGCAGCAUAACAGAACACCACCAGCAGCAGCAGUGCUUUGGCUGCCACCUCUCUGCCGGUAUUUGUGCCUCCGCUCCCUAGCCCUUCUGGCCCUUCUCCAGCUUUGCUCCUGGAGUAAAAGUGAAUGAGUCUCACUCCUCACUCACUGUAAUGUAUUUGUUAGUGUAAAGCGUGGCUGUUCAGAAGCUAAGCAACCCCCGUGCUCCCCUU
rnacentral:lncRNA from 1 species